AACGUAGGACGCGAGCGUUAUCCGGAGUUACUGGGCGUAAAGCGCGGGCAGGCGGUCUGACAAGUCUGAUGUGAAAUCUCCGGGCUUAACCGGGAGAGGCCAUUGGAAACUGACAGGCUGGAGGGCAGUAGAGGUAGGCGGAAUUCCCGGUGUAGCAGUGAAAUGCGUAGAGAUCGGGAGGAACACCAGUGGCGAAGGCGGCCUUCUGGACCAAUACUGACGCUCAUGCACGAAAGCGUGGGGAGCAAACAGG
rnacentral:rRNA from 1 species